CACCAUGCCCAGCAAGAUGAUUCUUAGUUCUGUCUCUGGUCCUGACUUUUCUAAACUUCAUUUCCAGUUGUUUGCCAGGCACUUUUUUCCCCCUGUGGAUGUCCCACAUACUUCUCCAAGAUGGGUCCCACUAUGCAGUCCAGCCUGGCCUUAAACUGGAGUUGGGUCCUCCCUCCUCAACCUCCUGAGUGCUGGGAUUAUAGGCAUACGCCACCACGCCUGGCAAAAACUAAAGAAUUUCUUGAACGCUGGACAAAGAUCUUGGAGUCACCUUUGUCACCCAAGCCUAAGGGCACGGCCGGUUUCUGGGCUCCGUCCCCAAUAGAAGCCUGCUCUGGAAUGCAGACUUCGCAAAUCGGCUGGGCCCCGGCAGGUGGACUUUCCCCUCCGGGGCCCACACCUAGCUUCCGAAGGCCGGGAGAGGGAGAAAAGCGCUCCGGGAAGGCGCUGGCUGCAUUGUUCUGAUGCCUCUUUAAUCCUGCGUAUGUUCACAAUAAACAUUUGUUGAACAAAUAAACGAG
ensembl:lncRNA